AAAACGGCCCUUUUCAGGGCCACCAAUGAUCUCGUCGAAAAGAGCA
rfam:Anopheles darlingi Cont2762, whole genome shotgun sequence.